rnacentral:rRNA from 1 species
AGCGAACGCUGGCGGCAGGCUUAACACAUGCAAGUCGAACGGGCGUAGCAAUACGUCAGUGGCAGACGGGUGAGUAACGCGUGGGAACGUACCUUUUGGUUCGGAACAACCCAGGGAAACUUGGGCUAAUACCGGAUAAGCCCUUACGGGGAAAGAUUUAUCGCCAAAAGAUCGGCCCGCGUCUGAUUAGCUUGUUGGUGAGGUAACGGCUCACCAAGGCGACGAUCAGUAGCUGGUCUGAGAGGAUGAUCAGCCACAUUGGGACUGAGACACGGCCCAAACUCCUACGGGAGGCAGCAGUGGGGAAUAUUGGACAAUGGGCGCAAGCCUGAUCCAGCCAUGCCGCGUGAGUGAUGAAGGCCCUAGGGUUGUAAAGCUCUUUUGUGCGGGAAUAAACCUCGAUACGUGUAUCGAGCUGAAUGUACUGUAAGAAUAAGGAUCGGCUAACUCCGUGCCAGCCGCCGCUGUAAC